UACGAAGGGGGCUAGCGUUGCUCGGAAUGACUGGGCGUAAAGGGCGCGUAGGCGGUGUACACAGUCAGGCGUGAAAUUCCCGGGCUCAACCUGGGGGCUGCGCUUGAUACAUGUGACGCUUGAGUUCGGAAGAGGGUCGUGGAAUUCCCAGUGUAGAGGUGAAAUUCGUGAGAUAUUGGGAAGAACACCGGGUGGCGAAGGCGGCGACCUGGUCCGA
rnacentral:rRNA from 1 species